rnacentral:rRNA from 1 species
UACGUAGGGCGCAAGCGUUGUCCGGAAUUAUUGGGCGUAAAGAGCUCGUAGGCGGCCUGUUACGUCUGCUGUGAAAUCCCGGGGCUUAACCCCGGGCGUGCAGUGGAUACGGGCAGGCUGGAGGCAGGCAGGGGAGAACGGAAUUCCCGGUGUAGCGGUGAAAUGCGCAGAUAUCGGGAGGAACACCGGUGGCGAAGGCAGCCUUCUGGGCCAACACUGACGCUCAUGCACGAAAGCGUGGGGAGCAAACAGG